UGUAGAUGUCACUAAGAACCCAACAUGUCAAUGCAGUGCAUAAUGGUUUGUAUUUCCAGAUAAAUCAAAUCAGAAAUGAACUACAGUUUAAGAAGACAGACUUACUGAUGUAAAGAUGGAAGAGAUGACAACAGGUUGUGAUUUCAAAAUCUGUAACGGUGUCACAGAUACCUUCUAAAAGCAAUGUUAGAUCAGAUAGUUGUAUGUCCAUACAGAAUUGAAGACAGAGGUCUGAAGUUAGUUGGUACCGUAUUGACAAUCACCAAAUUUUGCAUUUCUCCGGGGUUUUUUUUUUGCGGGCCUUGAUCUACAGUAACGUAUGAUGAAUUCCGUAUUGUAUAAUGGGAACGCAUGAUACUACGGGCAUUGCCAAUUGUCAUAUGCAGAGGAUAGGUAUCGUAAUGGGAAAUGUAAAGUUUAGAAACUGUCAGGUUUAGCUUCGGCAAAGCUUCAAAUUUAGCUUUCGGCAAAACAUUUGAAGCAUGUAAUAUAUAAGUAAUGUAGAAUUAAUUGAUAAACUUUGAAGAAAAGACAAAACAAGCGAUUGACUUGACUAAUCUAACAUUUUUUAUACUUUAUACUAAGAUCUUUUAGCGUAUAUUAUCUGUGGUUAAAACGAGAAUGCUUGUACAUUUAGUGACACAUUCUAAAUCAAUUGUAAAACCUGCUCGUUCCAAAGAUUGCGAUCAGUUUUUAAUUCCAAAUGGCUUUAUCAGUUUACUAAAUUCUACCUAGUUAUUGUUAUAAGCACAUUAUUUAAAGUGUAAUUCCUUUUCCAUGUAUAACAAAGGGCAAUUAAAUUACUUGACAGCAACUAAAAUAGUUUACAUAAAACCGACAAGGUUGACAUUCAUAGACAUUGAUCUAACAUUUUUAUACAAAAUUAAGUGAUUGUAAUCUUAAUUAGACCAAUUUGUAUUGUUUACUUCGCCUGAUUGAUAGUUAUUGUUUAACAUGACUUCGUAAUCAAUAACUAUGUUGUAUUGAAUAUUAAUAUCUGAUAAAACGUUUAUCAAAUCGACCUUUCAACGAAAUAUAGAAUAAAUCUGCAGAAUGAAUGUGGCAUUCAAAUGAAUUUCAGGUACAAACCUACAGUAUAUAGCUUCUUACUGCGGCUGACAGGUUAAAAUUCCGUAAAAAGACGUAGUUUAUGACAAGAUUUCGUGGAGAAUCCCUAAAGUAGGAAUACCAAUGGGUAAUAAUCUCGGUUAAGGAAGCAGAUAGACAUCGAGAAACAUCUAUAACAUCGUCCAAUUUUAAACACACAAGGAAGUAGUCAAUGGCACAGCGGAUAGCAGGCUCGACUACAACGUCAAAAUCAAAUACACAGACAGGGAAAAGACACCGAGGGUAUUACUUACUGGUGAAACAAUGCAAACACCUCAGAUGAAGGCUGGUGGAUGGAGCACAAUACAGUUUUUCCUUUGUCAGCCAUUUCUUUUAGAGUUUGCACUAUACUUUCUGCCAUAAAUGAGUCCAAGCCAGAGGUUGGUUCGUCACAGAAUAACAACGGCGGAUUUGUCAAGAUCUUUCGAUCUGUAUAAUAUCCAGACAGAAUUUAAGACAGAGAUCUGAUGUUAGUUGCUACGGUAUUGACAAUCGCCAAAUCACCUGUUCUCCUUACUCAAUUUUGCCCUUCUCUGGUUCUUGAUCUAAAGUAAUGUGUGACAAAUGCCGUAUUGCAUAAUGGGAACACGUCAUACUACGGGCAUAGCAAAGUUCCAUUUCCAGAGGAUAUGUAUCGCAAAGGAAAAUAUGCUGUCCAACCACGUUAGAGCCAAGUUUAGCAACUGGCAGGUUUAGUUACGGCACUGCAUUUUAAGUUUGAAAUACAUAAGUAAUGUAGGAUUGGUUGAUAAACUUUGAAGAAAGUCUGAUAUCACCGACUAACCGACUGUUCUAUCCUCUUUUAGAUAAUUUAUAUGAACUGUUAGUGUGUACGCUUGAGGAUUAAGACGAGAAUGUUUGUUCAUCUAGUAACACAUUCUAAAUCAAUGGUAAAACUUUCUCGUUCCAAAGACAGCGAUCAGAUUUUAAUCCCAAAUGGCUUUAUCAGUUUACUAAAUUAUGCAUGCUUUUAUUAUACACAUAUAAUUUAUAAAGUGUAUAUUACAAAGGGCAAUUAAAAUACUUGGCAGCAAUUGAUUUCAGUUUAUAUUAAACUGACAGGGUUGGAAGUCAUAGAUCUUAAUAUUCCAUUGUUACACAAAAAGAAAUGAUUGUAAUCUUAAUUAUAUCAAUCUGUAUUGUAUACUUUAUAUGACUGAUAUAUUGUUUCACAUGACAUCUUAAUCUAUAUAAUAUUAAAUUUGUAUUGAAUAUAAAUAUCUGAUAAAAUGCAUACCCAAUCGACAGUUCGACAAAAUAUGAACAAUGCAGAAUAAUGUG
rnacentral:lncRNA from 1 species